UCGUAUAUUCUAAUCUGUGUUUUCAUCUUUGUACUUACUGCAGCCUUUCCCAAUUAGAUGCUGGCAUUCACUUUCGUCAUCCUGAUGUGAGUGACCUGAGACGACACAAAAUGACAGUCUCCCCUGCUGAAGUCCUGGUGUCAUGAAAGACUGCCAAGGCUGUUCGUGGCAAGUGUAGCCCUCGCCGAACAGAAGCUAGCAUCGACCAGGCCGAGGCUCAGUCCAUGGCGGUGUGCAAAAGUUGUUGAUGGUCCGGGAAACGGUGGUGACCUCGUCGUGUUCAAGGAGC